AGUAACACGUGAGUAACCUGCCCCCGAUUUCGGGAUAAGCCCGGGAAACUGGGUCUAAUACCGGAUACGACCUGCCCUCGCAUGAGGGUUGGUGGAAAGUUUUUCGAUCGGGGAUGGGCUCGCGGCCUAUCAGCUUGUUGGUGGGGUAAUGGCCUACCAAGGCGACGACGGGUAGCCGGCCUGAGAGGGCGACCGGCCACACUGGGACUGAGACACGGCCCAGACUCCUACGGGAGGCAGCAGUGGGGAAUAUUGCACAAUGGGGGAAACCCUGAUGCAGCGACGCAGCGUGCGGGAUGACGGCCUUCGGGUUGUAAACCGCUUUCAGCAGGGAAGAAGCCGUAAGGUGACGGUACCUGCAGAAGAAGUACCGGCUAACUACGUGCCAGCAGCCGCGGUAAUACGUAGGGUACGAGCGUUGUCCGGAAUUAUUGGGCGUAAAGAGCUCGUAGGUGGUUGGUCACGUCUGCUGUGGAAACGCAACGCUUAACGUUGCGCGUGCAGUGGGUACGGGCUGACUAGAGUGCAGUAGGGGAGUCUGGAAUUCCUGGUGUAGCGGU
rnacentral:rRNA from 1 species